GCUCUGACUACUUCUGAUCUUUCUAGGGGCAUAUUUGGUACGGCUUCUUUGAUCACAGCAACAAUAACGUCACCAAUAUGAGCAUAUCGAUGAUUGCUAGCUCCUAUGAUUCGAAUACACAUCAAUUCUCGAGCCCCGCUGUUAUCCGCUACAUUUAAAUGGGUCUGAGGUUGAAUCAUUUUUUUAAUCCGUUCUUUGAAUGCAAAGGGCGAAGAAAAAAAAAUAUUUUUGUCCAAAAAAAAAAGAAACAUGCGGUUUCGUUUCAUAUCUAAGAGCCCUUUCUGCAUUUUUUUCUAUUACAUUACGAAAUAAUGAAUUGAGUUCGUAUAGGCAUUUUGGAUGCUGCUAGUGAAAUAGCCCUCCUGGCUAUAUUUUCUGUUACUCCACCCAUUUCAUAAAGUAUUCGAUUCGGUUUAACAACAGCAACCCAAUAUUUAGGGGAUCCUUUUCCUGAACCCAUACGUGUUUCUGCGGGUCUUAGUGUAACUGGUUUGUCUGGAAAUAUACGUACCCAUAUUUUUCCACCACGACGUGCAUUUCGUGUCAUUGCUCGUCGGCAUGCUUCUAUUUGUCUAGAUGUAAUCCAAGCAAGUUCAAGUGCCUGAAGAGCAUAUUUACCGAAAGAAAUAUGAUUACCUCGAUGAGAUAUUCCCUUCAUUCUUCCUCUAUGUUGUUUACGGAAUCUGGUUCUUUUGGGGUUAUAGUUGAUGGUUGUUUCUGAAUUCCAUCUCUACUAUAGAACCGGACGUGAGAGUUUCUUCUCAUCCAGCUCCUCGCGAAUAAAAGGAUU
rnacentral:lncRNA from 1 species